AUGUAGAGAGCAUGUUAAUAUGAAAAUAUAUCUUAAUGAUUGUCCAUGAUUGUAGAGUGCACAAAUAUUGAAAUAGAUCCUAAUAAUUAUUCAUGUUUGUAGAGAGUAUGAUAAUAUGGAAAUACGUCUUAAUGAUUGUAGAGUGCACAAAUAUACAUCUUAAUGAUUGUCCAUGCUUGUAGAGUACACAAAUAUUGAAAUGUAUCCUAAUGAUCAUCCAGAGCACCUUAAUAUGGAAAUAUAUCUUAAUGAUUGUCCAUGCUAGUAGAGUUACAAAACUUGAAAUGGAUCCUAAUAAUUCCGAAGAGAUGAGAAUGAGCAAGCUUUACUAGGUUGCUAAUAAGAAUGUGCCAAGGGAAUCCCAUAAUUAUAAAAAUCACAUAACUAUGGAAAUGAAUCUCGGUAAUUUUGGAGAGAUAAAAGGGCAUAUGCUUGACUGGUUGCAUAUUAUCACGUGACAUUGAACACCUCAGUGAAGAUAUCAAUGAGUUGGUGUUAAAAUGGAUCAUAGAAAGCGGUGAUGAUACCAUUUUGUAAUUUCUGUAGAGUAACAUGGCAGUCCAAUGCAACGUGAUAUAUUUGGUCUUCUCAUGAUACACUUGAUUUCAUUGGCUAUUAUGUGUAAAGUUGCUUGGUUGUUACAAUGGAAUUGUAUGGGC
rnacentral:lncRNA from 1 species